rnacentral:rRNA from 1 species
GUAGGCGAUUUUAAUGAGAUCCUAUAUUCCCAUGAGAAGGAAGGGGCGCCACGCCCUGUUCGGUUGAUGCAGAAUUUUUAGGAGGCCCUAGUCGAUUGUGAACUUGAUGACAUGGGCUUCUUCGGUGAGCAGUUUACAAGGAGAAGGCGUCGUCUCCGGGAGCGGUUGGAUCGAGUGGUGUGUAAUGACAGUUUCCAUGGCUUGUUCCCGCAUGCGCUGAUAACGAAUGCACCACAUCUUAAGUCUGACCACAUGCCUGUGGUGCUGGAUACCGAGGGUGGAUCGAUGGAGCAAGAACAGGGCUAUAAACAACGACAUUUUGAAGCCCGCUGGCUACAGGAAGAUGAGGUCAUGGAAAGGGUCACGAAGGCGUGGUCGCGCACGCAUUCUUCCGCGUCUUUGGCUGAGCGGACGGCUGCUGUCCACGGCGAGCUUCAUGAGUGGGACCGCAAGGUCCUGAAGUCGCCACAACACUGUCUAAAAAUUCUCAAGGAGGAGCUUGGAACUUUGUGA